rnacentral:sRNA from 1 species
CAUCCUCUAUCUGCUGCGGGCAGAUGAAAUGGAUAUGAGCAUCGAACCCGCCUGCGGUCAGGAUCUUGCCUUCGCCCGCGAUCACCUCUGUCCCCGGACCGAUGACGAUGGUCACGCCCGGUUGGGUGUCGGGGUUGCCCGCCUUGCCGAUCCCGGCAAUCAGCCCGUCGCGCAGGCCCACAUCGGCCUUGUAGAUGCCCGAAUGAUCCACGAUCAGCGCGUUGGUGAUGACCGUGUCCGCAGACCCUUCGGCACGGGUGCGCUGGCUUUGGCCCAUCCCAUCACGGAUA